GUAGCUUAUAAAUUUGCAUUUCUUAAAAAUUUUAGCUCUAAUAUUUUGCGAUUACACUGGAAGAAAAAACGUUUGAUUUGUUUGCCUUCAUAAAUUUUGAAAUAUAUAUUAUUUCGAGUUGAUGAGUGCGACUCAUAGAAUUUGUUUUUACAUAGAUAGUCUUUUACUAAAAAAAAAAUUAUUUUCUUCUGGCUGAAUUUUAAAGAUUUGGAUUAAUGCCAGCUGGGGUUUCGUGGCUCAAGUAUUUAACUUUUAUGACUGCUUCAUUGGUUUCGAUGUUUGCUGGUUCCCAAGUUGUUCAUUCAAUUUACAAGCCUCUAGAUGAUUAUCCACAGUAUAUUGAACGUGAAAGGGAAAGAGUGAAAUCACUGAAUCCUGAAUCAUGAUUUUAAACAAAAAUCAUGAAUUUAAACAAUAGUUCUAUUUUGUUUAAAUUGAUAAAAUGCUUUAUCUAUCUCAGGUGCUAAUGUAAUAAAUAUGCAGGUUUGCUUGUUUUUGUAGAAAUAAAACUUAUUUAUGGAUUUAUAA